UCUAACUUUUAGAGACAAUGAAUUUAUUAGUAGUUAAUAUGUAAAAUAUUUGUACUUCUGACCUUUUGUAAAACAUUCUUUCUAUAUUUUAAAUGAUUGGUUGUCAGAAUAAUUUUCCUCAAAAUGAAGUGUGACAUUGUAAAUAAGCUCUUGAAUUAAGCAGCAUAUUAAAUCUAUGUAUUCAGUGGCAACCUUUGAUAGUUCUCAUAUAUCAUGAAGAUUUUGUUGGUUCUGCUACAUUGAGGCAGCGUCGUAUAGCAUUGUGAAUGAUAAUUUUUUGCACUGAACUUUACAGUUUCUGGACAGUUUCAGCAUCAUUCUUCUGAUCUUGACAAAGGAUAUUGAGUUAAGCAGAGAUGCAUCCCUGACAUUGUGGAAUAUGAUUGAGAGAGAAAUGCAAGCUGAGUCGGUAUCUCGAAAAUGAGAAGGAGGACGUACAAAAGAUGUCAAGGUCAAUCAUUUCAUCUUGGUGCUCGAACUGACAGGCAUCACUGAACAUCCCAUCACCCAGCGUCUCCGGUCACAAUGAGAUGAUCCUGAUAACACUUCCCAGACUCCUUCCUGGAGGAGACCUGAGCAUGGCACAUCUUACCACAUUACACACAUGGAAGUAAUAUCAGACCAUUGGGUCUGACACCGUAACUGCAUCUCAGGGCAGGUGUUUCAGGUAGAGCGACGGGAGCUAGAGCACGGUACGUGACGCUCAUGACUUACCCCUUCCAAACCCUCUGGGAGGUGGUUCGGACUAUUGUUACAGGCUGACCUGGAGCUACCUUUUAGCAAGCUCUGGGCAGGGCCACCCCUGCCCAAUAGCCUGCGCUGGGCUGACCUGCUCCACCGAGUGCAUCCUGCUGCAGAGCAGUGAUGGGAACCCCCUGAGAAAAUGGGGAGUCAGGACCUCUUACCACCUGCCAAGCACGAGGGCAGGCUUUUCAGCUCUUCGAGAACACCUUCUGGCACCCUAAAAGGAGAAGGACCUGACGUCGGGGUCUUAGAUCCAUCCUACGAGUCAUUCAGGGACAAGAGAGCAAGACAUUUGUGAGCCUCAAACCAACGUUCACGUUUACAGUGACACCAGAGAAGAGUCAGGUUAUCACAAAGAAAAGACAGCGAUGACACCGCGCGGCUGCAUUGCCCUGUGAGCAUCCACCGCACAGCAUCGCCCGUGGGCAGAGGCUGCAUGGCAGAGAAACAGAGAUGCGGGGAGGGGGUUUCUCAAACGGGGAAGUUUAAGAAGAGGACAACAACACAUGAAGCCUGGAGGGAAGGCAAACCAAUGAAUGCACAAAGACGGGAAGGAGACAGUCCAGCACUACCACAACAAAACCACCCGUAUUCAAUUCCGGUUAUUGAUAUGGCAAUGCAUCGGUUAUGGGUCCCUGCGAAAAAGUACCCAAACAUACUUCGUGAAUGUAUGUGGA